CCCUCCGCCACCAACACACUAACCCUUUCCCCCUCUUCGUCCCUUCCGCUUCUUCUUCUGGCGGAGAUGGAAGCUUCAAUAAUGGCCCCCCUUCCAGCGGCGGCGGUGGUGGAGGCAAUGACGACUAUAAUAGUAAUAACAGCGGCGGUGAUGAGGAUGGUGAUAAUGCUGCGAACAGGAACACGAAAGAGGCGAUGAUGGUGUUAGCGGAGUCGAAGCGGGCACUGGAGACUUUGCCCAAGGACUUGGCGGCAGGGAUCCAGGCCGGCAGAAUUCCUGGUGCGGUGGUUUCAAGGUUUUUAGAGCUCGAGAAGUCGGGGUUGUUCCGGUGGUUUCUUCAGUUCGGUGGGUUCAAGGAAAGGCUGUUGGCUGAUGAUCUGUUUUUUGCUAAGGUCGGCAUUGAGUGCGGUGUUGGUAUCUUCACUAAGACUGCUGCAGAAUAUGAACGUCGCAGAGAGAAUUUUUUCAAGGAGCUGGAAAUUGUUUUUGCGGACGUGGUGAUGGCCAUAAUUGCAGAUUUCAUGCUUGUUUAUCUUCCUGCUCCAACAGUAUCCCUCCGACCACCUCUUGCAAGCAGUGCUGGACCUAUUGCAAAGUUCUUCUACAGCUGCCCUGAUAAUGCAUUUCAGGUUGCUCUUGCUGGAACUUCCUACUCAUUUUUACAGAGAAUAGGUGCUAUUGUGCGUAAUGGGGCAAAACUUUUUGCUGUUGGCACCACCUCAUCACUGGUUGGCACAGCUGUGACGAAUACAUUGAUCAACGGACGGAAGGCUGUAGAUAAGUCUUCAGCAGGUGAAGUUGAAAAUGUGCCUAUAUUGUCCACCAGUGUUGCCUAUGGUGUCUAUAUGGCAGUUUCUAGCAACCUCAGGUAUCAAGUACUGGCCGGUGUUAUUGAACAGCGGAUUUUGGAACCUUUAUUACACCAGCACAAGUUUAUGCUUAGUGCAAUUUGUUUUGCUGUUCGAACCGGCAACACAUACUUGGGUUCAUUGUUGUGGGUGGAUUAUGCUCGGUUGAUAGGAAUUCAAAAGGCUCAGGAGGAGCAGAAAGAAUUGGCUUGAUUUAUGAAUAUUGGUUUGCAACAUUAUGGCAGUUGCUUGUAGUAGGGUAUGUCAGUUAAAUUUUUGUGAGAGCUUUUGUGGGUGUUGAAAUGGUAGAAUUUUG
rnacentral:misc_RNA from 1 species